rnacentral:misc_RNA from 1 species
GCCUGGUUUCAGUCAAGAGGUCAUACAAUGGUCGUCGCUAUCACUGGGAGCACACGGACGUUGAGCCAGCUAUUAUCUUUACUCGUGCACACAGCAGGGUCAAGGACAAGGCUCCACAACCCUGAUGUUAUCAACUUUAUAAUAUUCGGUGCGCUCGAGUGGAGAGUUUACCAUAUACUCAAAGAGGAAUAUCUCCCGGAUGAUUGGAUCAAGGUCAGAAAGAGUGAAGGUGUCAUGGAAAAAGGCUGAAUUUGAACCAAAUACACAACCAGGCAGGCAUCGCGCUGUCACCAUGUAACUCCGACUGAAGACUAGCUUCAACAGCCAUCCAUGCGGACAUGCUGCGCCUUUAGUGGAUGGUGAUCCUGCCGAGUGUUAAGAGGCGGGAAGCGGAGUUCAAGAGGGGAAGAAAGAGAUUCAAAGAUGAUCCAAGACUAGGAAGACGUUCAACUGCCACCACUACGGAAACUGGGACUUGAGGCAGAUAUUUCAUCCUUCCCGUGUAUGGGUAGAAAAACCGCUUCAAUAUUAACAGUCAACCGGGAUUUUUCAUCUGACGAAGUAAACAAGGCUGUACAGAAAGUGUCCAAGAAACAUUCGCCCUGUCUGAUGGUGUUCGUGAAUAAGGAUGCAACUGCCUAUGCAAUUGUCAACCUCUCUUCUUGUCCAACAUUUAGAAAGUCAGUGCUCCAUCUGCUGGCAGAGUACUAUAUGGAUAUCAAAUCCAAGACAGUAUUCUCAGAUUACUGGCCUCUAACAGCAAUUGGUUUUGGGUGAAGUGAAGUAACAUGUUCACUGAACAGAAUGUGCAGUUUCCUGACAUUUGGACUAAUUUGUGACCCGUGGAACAGAAGCUGUAAAGCCCAUUGCAUUCAGUGUCAAAAGACAUCCGACUUUGAUCUACUGACAGCUUUAUUGGUAAUUAUUGUGUGUGUUUUAAUAGUUCUGCUUUUCAGGGGGUAAAGUAUAACUAUGCAAUACACAAUUCCUAUUGUCACAAUAAUGAUGCUUUUCCGACAGUUAAUUUUCUUUGUGAAUAAGGGAGCUUGUUUCCAGGUAUGUCAUCAUCGUGUUUAUAAUAGUCUUUAUUACAUAAGAUGAUAUAGUUAUGCUAAUAAGAA